GACGAACGCUGGCGGCGUGCCUAACACAUGCAAGUCGAGCGGCAAGGCCCUUUCGGGGGUACACGAGCGGCGAACGGGUGAGUAACACGUGGGUGACCUGCCCUCAGCUCUGGGAUAAGCCUGGGAAACUGGGUCUAAUACUGGAUAUGACUCCACGGUGCAUGUCGUGGGGUGGAAAGCCUUGUGCGGCUGAGGAUGGGCCCGCGGCCUAUCAGCUUGUUGGUGGGGUGAUGGCCUACCAAGGCGACGACGGGUAGCCGGCCUGAGAGGGCGACCGGCCACACUGGGACUGAGACACGGCCCAGACUCCUACGGGAGGCAGCAGUGGGGAAUCUUGCGCAAUGGGCGAAAGCCUGACGCAGCGACGCCGCGUGAGGGAUGACGGCCUGG
rnacentral:rRNA from 1 species